GACGAACGCUGGCGGCGUGCCUAAUACAUGCAAGUAGAACGCACAGUUUAUACCGUAGCUUGCUACACCAUAAACUGUGAGUUGCGAACGGGUGAGUAACGCGUAGGUAACCUGCCUGGUAGCGGGGGAUAACUAUUGGAAACGAUAGCUAAUACCGCAUAAUAUUGAUUAUUGCAUGAUAAUUGAUUGAAAGAUGCUAUUGCAUCACUACCAGAUGGACCUGCGUUGUAUUAGCUAGUAGGUGAGGUAACGGCUCACCUAGGCGACGAUACAUAGCCGACCUGAGAGGGUGAUCGGCCACACUGGGACUGAGACACGGCCCAGACUCCUACGGGAGGCAGCAGUAGGGAAGCUUCGGCAAUGGACGAAAGUCUGACCGAGCAACGCCGCGUGAGUGAAGAAGGGUUUCGGAUCGUAAAGCUCUGUUGUAAGAGAAGAACGGGUGUGAGAGUGGAAAGUUCACACUGUGACGGUAUCUUACCAGAAAGGGACGGCUAACUACGUG
rnacentral:rRNA from 1 species